GCUCUGUGAUGAAGCCCAUGCAUGUCAUCUGAUCCUGGCUUUUCUCUUUCAGCUCAGGGAGUGUUCCAAUCUUGUAUUCUCCCUUGGUCUAAAUUUAUUAUUUCCUAUGC
rfam:Fukomys damarensis contig127005, whole genome shotgun sequence.